CCCAGGUGGCUCAGUGGAAAAGAAUCUGCCUGCCAAGCAGGAGACACAGGUUCGAUCCCUGAAUCUGGAA
rnacentral:tRNA from 1 species